UCCUAACCCCCCUAAAUUGGCAGAGCCUAUUUAAGACACCUGUGGCAUGAAGGCUGCCUUUCUCCUUGUCUGUGCCUGGUGGCUGCCAAAUGGUCAUGUCUCUGAGUUUACUGCCUGUUUUGCACGGAUGGCCUGGUCGUCUUGGUGUCCAUUGAAAUUGAUUUGAGUGGUGAAUUGUUCCAAACUGAUUGGAGGACAUCAGGGUAAUUGUAGUACCUGCUCAGACACAAUCAGCUGCUGUUUUGUUUUAGAUGAGUGUUUUGUCUGUUUUGUUAGCUUUGGUUUUGUUAGGUCCUGUUUUGUUCCAGGUUGCUCAUCUUUAGUUUACUUUAAGUUAGCCAUUACUUUUGAAUUAUGACAUUCUAUUGAAAUUGUUAUUAAAAUUUGCCCUUUAGCCUGAACCAACUGGUUCAGUUUUAGCCAUUUCUUGGGUAACAUUUUCUUUUUUUUUCCUUACAGUGCAGUGGUUGUUGGCUAGCGGUGGAGGCUAGGCACCCUGGGUGGUUCCCAGCACCUUUCUGUUGUAGUGAUAAGGGCACUGGGACACGAUAGUCUGCACCUGUUUGCCAUGUGUUUUCUGUGAGUUCACGAGUGGUGGGUAAGUGCACUCCUGGGACACUUCCUUUGGUAGUUUGCCUCCCCCUUGCUAGCUUCCACUCACUCCCCCCUCCCCGUUUUGAUAGUUUUAAUCAU